ensembl:snoRNA SNORA74 Small nucleolar RNA SNORA74
CCCAGCUGUAGGCAACUGUCUAAGUUGUACCUAGGCAUGUGAUACACUACUGGGAGAAGAGCAGCUAAUAGCUGGUAGGCAUUCUGGGCCCAGUUAAUGCCAAAUUUG